rnacentral:tRNA from 2 species
GCGGUUGUAGCUCAGUUGGUUAGAGCGCUGGAUUGUGGAUCCAGAGGUCGGUGGUUCGAGCCCACCCAACCGUACCA